rnacentral:rRNA from 1 species
GCCCAGCCCUAAACUUUGAUAGCCCCCUACGUUCGCUAUCCGCCCGGGUACUACGAGCACUAGCUUAAAACCCAAAGGACUUGGCGGUGCUUUAGACCCACCUAGAGGAGCCUGUUCUAGAACCGAUAACCCCCGUUGAACCUCACCCUCUCUUGUUUUUCCCGCCUAUAUACCGCCGUCGUCAGCUUACCCUGUGAGGGAACCACAGUAAGCAAAACUAGUACAACUCAAAACGCCAGGUCGAGGUGUAGCAUAUGAGAGGGGAAGAAAUGGGCUACAUUCCCUGCCCCAGGGAAUACGAACGAUGUAAUGAAAUAUGCAUUAGAAGGAGGAUUUAGCAGUAAGCAGAAAACAGAGCGUUCCGCUGAAAUUGGCCCUGAAGCGCGC